rnacentral:rRNA from 1 species
CUCGCUGUGAAGAUGCAGUGUACCCGCGGCAAGACGGAAAGACCCCGUGAACCUUUACUAUAGCUUGACACUGAACAUUGAGCCUUGAUGUGUAGGAUAGGUGGGAGGCUUUGAAGUGUGGACGCCAGUCUGCAUGGAGCCGGCCUUGAAAUACCACCCUUUAAUGUUUGAUGUUCUAACGUGGACCCGUGAUCCGGGUUGCGGACAGUGUCUGGUGGGUAGUUUGACUGGGGCGGUCUCCUCCUAAAGAGUAACGGAGGAGCACGAAGGUUGGCUAAUCCUGGUCGGACAUCAGGAGGUUAGUGCAAUGGCAUAAGCCAGCUUGACUGCGAGCGUGACGGCGCGAGCAGGUGCGAAAGCAGGUCAUAGUGAUCCGGUGGUUCUGAAUGGAAGGGCCAUCGCUCAACGGAUAAAAGGUACUCCGGGGAUAACAGGCUGAUACCGCCCAAGAGUUCAUAUCGACGGCGGUGUUUGGCACCUCGAUGUCGGCUCAUCACAUCCUGGGGCUGAAGUAGGUCCCAAGGGUAUGGCUGUUCGCCAUUUAAAGUGGUACGCGAGCUGGGUUUAGAACGUCGUGAGACAGUUCGGUCCCUAUCUGCCGUGGGCGCUGGAGAACUGAGGGGGGCUGCUCCUAGUACGAGAGGACCGGAGUGGACGCAUCACUGGUGUUCGGGUUGUCAUGCCAAUGGCACUGCCCGGUAGCUAAAUGCGGAAGAGAUAAGUGCUGAAAGCAUCUAAGCACGAAACUUGCCCCGAGAUGAGUUCUCCCUGACCCUUUAAGGGUCCUGAAGGAACGUUGAAGACGACGACGUUGAUAGGCCGGGUGUGUAAGCGCAGCGAUGCGUUGAGCUAACCGGUACUAAUGAACCGUGAGGCUUAACCUUACAACGCCGAAG